rnacentral:tRNA from 1 species
GCUGGGUGUGGCUCAGUGGUAUACCGCUUGCCUCUCAUGUGUGAAGCACUGGGUUCAAUUCUCAGCACCGCA